rnacentral:rRNA from 1 species
UACGAAGGGGGCUAGCGUUGCUCGGAAUUACUGGGCGUAAAGCGUGCGCAGGCGGCUUCUCAAGUCAGGGGUGAAAGCCCAGAGCUCAACUCUGGAAUUGCCUUUGAGACUGAGUGGCUUGAGUACGAGAGAGGUGAGUGGAAUUCCCCAGUGUAGAGGUGAAAUUCGUAGAUAUUGGGAAGAACACCGGUGGCGAAGGCGGCUCACUGGCUCGUAACUGACGCUCAUGCACGACAGCGUGGGGGAUCAAACAGG